rnacentral:rRNA from 1 species
CCUACGGGAGGCAGCAGUGGGGAAUCUUGGACAAUGGGGGGAACCCUGAUCCAGCGACGCCGCGUGAGUGAAGAAGUAUUUCGGUAUGUAAAGCUCUAUCAGCAGGGAAGAAAAUGACGGUACCUGACUAAGAAGCCCCGGCUAACUACGUGCCAGCAGCCGCGGUCAUACGUAGGGGGCAAGCGUUAUCCGGAUUUACGGGGUGUAAAGGGAGCGUAGACGGUGCAGCAAGUCUGAUGUGAAAGGUCGGGGCCCAACCCCGGGCCUGCAUUGGAAACUGUUGAACUGGAGUACAGGAGAGGUAAGCGGAAUUCCUAGUGUAGCGGUGGAAUGCGUAGAUAUUAGGAGGAACACCAGUGGCGAAGGCGGCUUACUGGACUGUAACUGACGUUGAGGCGCGAAAGCGUGGGGAGCAAACAGGAUUAGAUACCCGAGUAGUC